rnacentral:lncRNA from 1 species
UCCAAAACCACCCGUGGCUCACCCUGCCCCCCAUCCGAGGAUGAGCACCCUGAGAAAGAGAGAGCCAGGCAGAAGUUAUCCCCUUUUAUGACUUAGCCUUCAAAGUCACCUGGGGUCACUCCUGCCACAGUCUCAGGCCUGCUAGAUUGAAGGGAUGGGAACAUAAAUCCCAUAUCUCCAUGAAGGAGAUCAAGUCAUCGAGGUCAUUGUAAGGAGGGCAUGUGGCAUAGGAUAUAUCCGUGCAUUCACCUUUGGAAAAUACAAUCAGCCACAGAGAGCAAACAACCCCACCACCAUCCCACCCCUGAGCUUUCACGGGUGUCAGUGACAACAAGCAUCGUAGGAUGAAAAGAAGUCAGCAAUCAUGAAAAAAUAAAGCAGCAAGAAGUACAAUCCUUUCCACCUCGUCUCCCAUGAGAGCAGGAGGUUGGGAAUGAAUCCAUCUCCCUGAACUAGAGAAGAGACGUGCAAGGUCACUGGGCCGAGCCUGUGGGUUUGGGUUUCUCAGCUGGCCUGUUACGAUGAAGCUUGUUCUUGUCUAUUGCUGCACACCAAAUUACCAUAAAUUUAGCAGCUUUAAACAACACCCGUUUAUUAUCUCACAGUUUUGU